CACUCUUCUCUUUUUUUUAUUCUCUUAUUAUUCUUUUGUUUCUUUUAUCUCUAAAAAAUAUUUUGGGUUUAUUUUAUUAUCUCUUUAGAGAUCCCUGGAGGGCUUGCGCAUACACAGCGGAUAAGUCCUUAAGGACACUGGUCUACACACCUCAAGAAAUCUUUUGUUCGUGAUCUUUAUUCUUUUAUUGUCAACUUCUACAACAAUCUUAAGGACUUAUUGCUGACAACAACUCAAUCCCAGAGAAUCAGAAUAUUGUUUCCGAAACUCAGACGGUCUUCGCCAAACCUUUCCCAGAUGUAUCAAAAAUCGAAGUCUUCUCUAGUCAGAAUUUUCGGCGUUGGCAAGAACGUGUGUCAACCCUGUUAGAGAUGUACGGAGUCACCUUUGCUCUUUCAUUCGGACUUCAGUCUCCGUCCAAAUUCAAAACAAGUUGAAGAUUGGGUUCAUGCAAACAAGGUAUGCCAUCAUACUUUACUUAGUGCACUCUUUAACGAUUUGUUUGAUGUGUACGCUUCUUAUAAGGAAGCGAAAGACAUUUGGGAUUCGUUGAUUCUCAAAUACACUGUUAAAUAUUUUUAACAGAUUGGCAAGCGUACCAAAUCGUAUCAAGUAAUAAUAAAU
rnacentral:lncRNA from 1 species